UGCAUGUGAAGUGCUAACUAAAUUAUAUAUGCUGGCAUAUCUAUAGAACGUCUUCCAAAAGUGUGAAUAAUGAAAAAAGAACUCUGGGAAUCAAGAAGGACAUAGUGAAUUUCAUGGAUCACCAGAUGUGUUAUUUAGUGUGAUCUUUAUAUCUUUAAUGUGACCCCGUCUCCCACUUUUUAAACUUUGUUUUUUUUUCACUUAUGUUUCGAUCUUUUGAUUUAUUCAUGUUUUCCCCAUCUCAUCGCCUUAAAUUACUUGUAUAUAUACAAUAUACAUGCAAUAAUAAGCAAAACGAGUGAUUUACAACUAUCUCUCAGAAAGAUUUUUUUUAAAAGUGUAAUAAUUCAAAAUAUGAUAUUGCAAUUUUUUAAAGCAAUAAUAUACAGUGAAAUCAGAAGAAAGAUACUCAGGUCUUUAAAGAUACAUAUAUUCGUUACUUGUAUAAUUACCGGUAUUUGGAUGACUUGAUUAAAAUUCAGAUAAAACUGUGUAUUAUUAGAAUGGAUGUAUAAUACGAGAUAGUCAAUUUUUUGUAAUUUUUGAUCCUUACACAUUUAUCAUAGAGUUUACAUAGACUAGAGUGGGCCUAUACACUUGGUUUAUGUCUUACGUUGUAAUAUAUUUUGAAUGAUUGCAUAUUUUUCCUAUUCUCAUGGAUUAUGUAUGUGUAUUGUAGAAUUAUAUUUCCAUAUUUAUGUGAUUAGUUUAUAAAGUUUAAUUAAACUACUAAUCAAAACAUGUCUUUUAAUCUUGAACUUUGUACAUUAGAUAAAAAUGCAAAAAAAUACAAUAAAAAAUUUAUAAUUGU
rnacentral:sRNA from 1 species